UUACUUUUCCAUCAGGAAUUGUCCAGCAACUUCUUUCUGAGAGAGUAAGGUAGUUUUAUUCUCUUUUGCAAGGAAAAUGCGAAAAGUAAACAGACGGUAUUCCUGCAGAAGUUUGCAACUAAUCAGCUGAUUUGUCAAAACAAACCAAUUUGUCCCCAUAAGGAGAAUUAAAACAAAGGAAGCAAUACUAAUUUUACAAGUUUUUUAAAUAAAAAUGUUGGAAAUAGUCUUUUAUUUUCUUAUUACAUAUUAAUAUUUACUUUUUUUCACAUUCUUUUACGUUGUUCUCAAAUUGAAACUAAACAAGCAAUAGAAAACAUCUGAUUGAAUGUCGAUGAAUGAGAAGAAGAAGAGUUGCAAGUGAUUGCAAGAAGAAAUUUGUCCAGCAAGAAUUUGCAAACUCUCACUGAAAGAACUGUCAAAAUUUCUCUCUCCAACCGCUCUCUUUUGCAGAACUUUCGGGUUAACAGACGACUUCCAGUAACAAUUUGUAACAAUUGUUACAAAUUUUAGAGUAACCAGACACACCUAAUAAAGGGACAUCAAAUAAAAAAAUGUAAUCAUACAGUUGCAUAACAUUAUAUUGGUAAUUGUAACAUGCUCAUAACAUAUUACAGUCAUCAUUUGCAAUCGCAUUGUAAAGACGUACACAAUGCACGCUCCUCCAAAAAUUAUUUGGUCGAAGUGUUUAAAAAAAUCUUGUGCAAAUUUUGUGCAUGACACUUUUUUAAACCAAAUUAAAAAACGUGUUAAAUUUUUUAAUCAAAACAUCUAUACUGCAUUUAAUAGCGAUGACUGCUUCUCGAUAUAAAGAAGAAAGAAAGAAAGAUAGAUAUAUAUAUAUAUUGUAUAAGUUCGAUAAGUUCCACCACAACUUUCCAAUUCCCGUCAAUCACGGUUGAUAAUUGGCACACUGACAUCUCCUCUACAACUCCCUUGGAGACCGUAGUGAGCGGAUCGCCGCUGGACAUUGGUUGUUGUCGGUUUGCUCUAAUUGGAAGUUAUUGUAGUUGUAAUAAAAAAAGACGUGGGAUCCUCAGCAAUCACUUAGAACCACUGCAUUCACCUGUCUUGUAGAAACGAAAGCGAAAGCACACGGCCGCUGUCGCCACCUCAAUUACUAAAGGAUGUCAAGAAAGAGACAGAAAAUUUAAUUCUGCAAAAAGAAUGAGACAAAUGAGGAGAAUGUCCAGGAACGUGAAUUGGUGCAGCAAAAUGAGACAGUACUUGAACAAUUAGAAGAGUUUAUUGCAAAAAUCGGUGGUGGAGGACUCCCACAACUGCUACGGUCUGUAAAGCUGAGUGCAGAAAACUGCUAUUUAGUGACAGCAAUCAAAAAUAUUUGUCAUUUCAAAUACACUAGCCACGACAAGGAUGUAAACACAACCUUUCAAAAACAUUUUAUUCACGUAUUGAUGUAGGUAAAAUAACCGAGUACACUUCCAGAUUUUUUUGAUUUUACAUUUUUUUUUUUUAUUUUUUUACCAUAACUUUUCUAUUUUGUAUACAAAAAAUGACAUUCAUUGAUGUAAAGAAUGUUGUUUAUAUUACACAUGAAAAUAAACAUGGAAAAUACUAGUACAAAUUGUAAUUAUAAAAGCAGAAUUAUAUUUAUUUUAAAUUAACUUUUAUAUAAACUCCCAACUCCCGUAAAUCACGGAUGCUGAUUGGCACACUGGCAUCUCAUCUACAACUCCCUUGGAGACCAUAGUGAGCGGGUCCCCGCUGGGCAUUGGUUGCUGUCGGGUUGCUCUAAGUGGAAGCAAUUGUAGUUGUAAUAAAAAGAGACAAUUGAUCACAUAGAACCUCUGCGUUCACUUGUCUGUAUUUGUAUAUGUAUUGUACAUAGACAUGGAAUCCUCAGCGAUCACUUAGAACCACUGCAUUCACCUGUCUUGUAGAAACGAAAGCGAAAGCACACGGCCCC